GUCUUUUCAGGGACAUCCGGUAAAAUUGGAACGAUACAGAGAAGAUUAGCAUGGCCCAUGCGCAAGGAUGACACGUAUAAAUCAAGAAAUGGUCCAAAUUUUU
rnacentral:snRNA from 1 species